GUGAUGUGGCCACAAGCCAAGGGCACCGGGAGCCCCCAGAGGCCGGAAGAGGAGAGGAAGGAGCCUCUCUAGGAAUGGCCUGCUGACAGCAGCCUCCAGAAUGGGGAGGGAAUCAGGUCUGUGCUGUCAUACUUAGGAGUGUCUUACGGCAGCCUCAGGAAACAGACGCAGUUUCCCAUUCACAGCCUGGCCUCUGUCCCCAUCUGGGGGUUUCCCCACAGCCUGGCCUCUCCCUGUUGCCCAGGCUGUCCCCAUAGCCAGGUCUCUCCCCAUAUCCUGGCGUGUCCCUGCAGUCUGGCUUCUCCCCACAGCCUGGUGUCUUCCCAUAGCCUGGAGCCUUCUCACAGCCUGGAGUCUCCCCUGCAUCCUGGGGUCUCCCUGCAGUCUGGCUUCUCCCCAUAUCCUGGGGUCUCCCUGCAGCCUGGGGCCUUCUCAUAUGCUGGGGUCUUCCCGCAUCCUGGGGUCUCCCAUAUCCUGGGGUCUCCCUGCAGCCUGGGGCCUUCUCACAGCCUGGGGUCUCCCCACAUCCUGGGAUCUCCCCGUAUCCUGGGGUCUCCCCAUAUCCUGGGGUCUCCCUGCAUCCUGGGGUCUCCCUGCAGUCUACCCAUGGUGCCAGGGCAGCUCUUCCUCCUGACGUGUGGGGGGCCCUGGGGUGCAGAGAAUAAACUCCACCCAUCGGAUGUGAAUUCCAGCAGCCCUGAGGUUGGGUGAGUUUCCUGGAGCAGUGGGCGAGGGGUCAGGGAUGCAGUUUGCUGACUGUCCAGCUCAGCACGCCCAGGGAGCUGGCAGGGUUCCCUGACCCCGGGCAGCAGGUGGAGGCUGAGACAAAGGCCAAGCCAGCUGGAGGCUUUAGGGAGACGCACUGGGUCCACUCCACAGGCAGCAGGACCCCAGGCGCACUGUGGGCAUUUGAGGAGUGGGUGUCAGGGUGACCAGAAGGAGCCAGGGUGGAGGUCGCAGGGUGUCAUCUUGGUGGGCAGAGCCUCGGGGCCCUGGGGUGGAGGGAGUGAGGCUGGAGAGCCUGGCUGGCUGUGCCGGACGCCUAACACGGUCCCGGAGAUGGCACUUCUCGCACGGACGAGGGUGGGCGACGCGGGAACAGACUGCCCGUAAUCGGGUUCCAGGUCCAAUAAAGGUAAACCUCGAGGCGGAAAGGACCUAGACGCAGGUGAACACGGUCCUCCGUGUGUGAGUGCAUGUGUGUGUUGUAUGUGUAAGCGUGUGGCCAUGUGUGUGGUGCUGGAGCCCAAAGCCUGUCCACGGCAGCCCAUUGGUGGGUCCGGCCCUGCCUGUGGAUUCAGCUCUCCACUGCAAAGCAAUAUGCAGUGUGUGAAACGGCAACACAGAUCGUGGCACCACCAUGAGCCUCACUGUUAGAUUUGGAUUGGAAUCCCUCCCUCUCUCCCGCUUUAAACUGUGGGUCCUUGGGAAAGUUACCUGACAUUUCUGAUUUUCACAUUCUUACCUGUAAACCCUCCCAGAGUUGAAAUGAGCCGUGUGGGAAUGGGGGUGGGGAUGGGGAGGCGCGCAGUCACCCUCGCCUUCCUUUUCUUUCUCUCGGUAAUUGUGUUCUUCUAUGUCAAAGGAAAAGAAUAAAACUGGAAAAUUAUUUGGGGGAAAAAGAAAAAGACACACAUGCAAGUGCCACAGGAACCUGCUGGGGGAGAGAUGCUCUGUGGCCUUCGGUAAGUCAGCCCUCAGCCUAGCAGUUGUAGGACCCUCCGUGGUUCUGGAUCCGCAUCAACUAGAAUUCUAUGUUCCAGGGAAAACUGCUUUCAAUGCUGACUUAUACUUAACACUGUAAGGCCAUGGAGCAGAGUAAACAUCCCGUCCCAUCAUGCCCCACGCCCUCCGGAACACCCCGUCCCAUCAUGCCCCACGCCCUCUGGAACACCCUGUCCCAUCAUGCCCCACACCCACUGAAACUUCCCGUCCCAUCAUGCCCCACGUCCUCUGAAACAUCCCAUCCCAUGCCCCACGCCCUCCAGAGAGUGAGGGCUGCAGGGCCAGCAUCUGCCUAGCCCGUGGCAACCUCAGCCCUCAGAGAGCAGCCCUGGUUGCCAGGAACCCAGAGGGCAGAACCCACACUGACCACUAACCAUUGGCAAAGCAGCGGCUCCUCUGCAGGGGCUUUUACGUGUUGGUUUCUUUGGCACCAUCCAACAGAAACAGAAUGGGAGCCACAAAUGGGCGCCACAUACGUAACUUAAAGUUUUCUAGUAGCCACGUUAAAAAUGUUCAAAGGUCAUCUUAAUUUUAAUAAUAUGUUUUAUUUAAUCUACUAGAUCCAAAAUUACUAUCAUUUUAACAGGUACUCAAAAUUAUUAAUGAGAUCUUUUACAUUCUUUUAGAAGUGUUUCAUAACGUCUCUGCAGCAGCCACAUUCCCCAUGCUCAGCAGCGGCUCACAGCCUGGAUGGCAGUGCGGUGUAGACAUUUGAGCUGUGGGCAGGACUCUUCCCGGUCCUCAUGGCUGAGCACACAGUGCCGGGCCAGGUGGUGCACACUGGGGGACCAUGGGCCGGGCUGGUCCUGGCUCUGCACUGUCCCUGUGACCCUCGGGAUGUUCCUCAGCAUCUUUUGGCGAUGGUUCCUUUCCUGUAGGAUGCGAGGCCGACAGCAUCUGCUGCUAGGAGUUGUGAGGACACGUGAGUUCAUUUCAGUUGGGUGCAGCGCUGGCCUAGUAAUCUCACUGACCCUUGGUCGCUCAGCCAGUGACUGUGCCCACCUGCCACCAUCAUAAGAUGGCGGACUUGGGGGUCAGGAGAGCCCUUCCAGGACUGCAGAAGCUGGUCCUUGGGGGUCUCGCAGCAGAUCCUGGGGGCGUUCCCAGUAUGGGUGCAAUGUACAUGGGGGGCUCAGGACGGGAGGCCCAUGCCAGCCCCUGGGCCUCCAGAGCUGGCAGAAGGCACAGCCCUGCAUGGCCAAGGGCGCUGGGCUGCGUGGAGAAUGUGCGGGUUCUGUUGUUUUGCCAGCUUUAGCAGUUUACCCAACCUAACAAAAAAAAAGGAUAUGCAACUGGGACAGCAUGUGGCCCACGAAGCCUCAAAUAUUGCCUCUGGCCCUUCACAGAACACGUGUUCUAGAAAGGAAAUCCUAUGCUCGUGGGCUAGGGGCUUGCUGGGUGGGGAGAGGGGUUCAAAACGUGGUUUGUCACUUCCUAUGAGGGUGAUCCGACAGGACUUCGUGGAGACGGUGGCGUUUAAGUGGCCUAAGAAGAACUGGAAGGAUUCAGAGGAGCGGAGGGACGUGGCCUGGUGGGCAGAAGUCAUGGCUGGGUGUCGCAGGCUCUGUGCAGCUCUGACAGCUGCAAUGCAGGCAGGCACCGCCCCCCCCCCCCCCAAUGCUUUACGGCCAUCGGGUCUGCAAGUUAUAAACUUGGUUACCCCCAGAACGUUGUUUAAACAGUACUGUGUUCUAGAACAUGCUGAGAUAGCAUUUAUGCAACUGAUGCCAAGGUGUGGAACAGGUUAGUCUGGCUUUUUCCUCAACAAUCCAGGAGGAGGACAGGGAGAAGGCAGCAUUGUUCCUGAGCGGGUGAGGCCAAUUUCAUCCUGAGUGAUAGUGACAGUAAUAACUGAUAAGAAAUGAAAUCACAGCUUUUCACACGCAGAGCCUGACUAAUGGCUGACCCUUCCUCCAUCUCUGGGUGCUCAUGCUGGAGAGCGAUGGGCCCUCCCUCCACUGCCGGGGGGGGACGUGCUGGAGAGUGACAGGCCCUACUUCCAAUCCUCGGUGUUUCUGCUGGAGAGCAAGGGGCCCUCCCUCCUCUCCUUGGUGCACGUGCUGGAGAGUGACGGGCCGGCAGUUCACGCCUCGUGCUCCUGCUGGAGAGCGAUGGGCCCUCCCUCCAAUCCUUGGUGCACAUGCUGGAGAGUGACAGGCCCGCAGUCCACUCCUGGUGCUCCUUCUGGAGUGACAGGCUCUCUCUCCACUCCGUGGUGCACGUGCUGGAGAGUGACGGGCCCGCAGUUCACUCCUGGUGCUCCUGCUGGAGUGACAGGCUCUCUCUCCACUCCGUGGUGCACGUGCUGGAGAGUGACGGGCCGGCAGUCCACUCCUCGUGCUCCUGCUGGAGAGCGACAGGCCCUCCCUCCAAUCCUUGGUGCUUCUGCUGGAGAGCGACAGGCUCUCCCUCCACUCCUCGGUGUGCGUGCUGGAGAGUGACAGGCCCUCCCUCCACUCCUCAUGCUCCUGCUGGAGAGCCGCAGGCCCUCCCUCCACUCGUGCUCCUGCUGGAGAGCGACAGGCCCUCCCUCCAGUCCUGGUGCUCCUGCAGGAGAGCAACAGGCCCUCUCUCCAGUCCUCGUGCUCCUGCAGGAGAGCGACAGGCCCUCCCUCCACUCCUCGUGCUCCUGCUGGAGAGCGACAGGCCCUCCCUCCAGUCCUCGUGCUCCUGCAGGAGAGCCGCAGGCCCUCCCUCCACUCGUGCUCCUGCUGGAGAGCGACAGGCCCUCCCUCCAGUCCUGGUGCUCCUGCUGGAGAGCGACAGGCCCUCCCUCCAGUCCUCGUGCUCCUGCUGGAGAGCGGCAGGCCCUCCCUCCGGUCUUCGGUGCGCGUGCUGGAGAGCGGCAGGAGCUCGGCCUUCUUAGGGUGUUUGGGACCCCAUCCAGCGUGGUUUUGCUUUAGUUCCCCGCCCAGGGAGAGGAGCUCGGCAAGCAGCACCGGGUUUAUUCUUGCUCAUUUAUUCAAAAGAAAGGUACUGAGUUUGAAAAUGCACCAAGCACUGGAGAGAAGAGAAAGGUGAGAGGACCUCGGGGCCUGCCUGUAAGAGGCUCAGGAUGUGGCUGGGGAUGAGGCCCAGUGGCACCUUCAACGCAGGAGAUGAGGGGGUCUGGAUCCCACCGUCAGAGCACGCACGCAACCUGUCCACUCCCUCAGGACUGCAGAAAAGGUCCAUUCUUGUAUUUCUUUUUAAGUUGAAUUAAAUCCAUCUCUAGCCCCUGCCUCUGAACUGAUGGAGUGUGGCUGUUAUUGGGCCGCCCUCACCCGCAAGGGGUGGAACCAGAGCUUGGGGCUGAGGCGCUCCUGGAGUGUUUAGCGCCUCUGCUGUCAGGACAUCCUGUGGCCACUGGCACGCUGUCUUCCCACACAGAGCCCCCGACCAGCAGCGGAGCCACCCACUCUCCACAGCCAGGGUUGGGAGCCCUGGGGCCCGAGUCCCCGGUCCCACGUGCCACACAAGGCAGGACAUUCUGGGUGCUGUCGCAUCCCCGGAAUCAGGGCCUGGACCCUGGUCAGAGCAGGACCUGCAGGUGACCCCGGGUGGGGCAGACUGUCUUCUGUCCUUGGUGGCAAAGCCGGUGUUCUCGGCGUCAUGUCUGCACACGUGUGCCUGAAGCCACGGGAACGCAGGGGCUACCUCCGGGCCUGGGCCUGGGCUGUGGAGCAGGAUCGGGGAGGACACACAGGUGGGCGUCUCAAGAACUGUGGUGUACACAGCUGAGCCCCUGCAGCUCUGCUUUGCCGGGCCUCACCCUCGGUGCUGGGUGCAAGACGUGACAAGAUGGCAUGGGAAGCUUCCCGGGGAACGCUGGAACUGGGUGUUUGAAGGAGGACCUCAUGGCGGCAGCUCCAGCCCAAGUACUGCAACUGUGGGGCCGUGCCAGGAGCAGGUGCUGCGGAGCCUGUGUGGGUCCAGGACAAGAGGAGCACCAGAAGCCCCUGGAGGGCCGUGCAGACGACACUGUCGGGCCGGCCCAGCCCAGGCCCCAGCAGUUAUGACUCCUCUGUGAUCAGAGGAUGUGGCUGAGGAUGUGCAUUUCCGUCAAGUUCCCAGGAGAACCUGGUGCUGCUGCUUCGGGGACCCCACUUUGAGGACCACUGAUCUAACACUGCCCCUCGUGGCAAACGCGGAAUGACUCAAGAUUCAGCUGGAUGGAUCAUUCAGGGAGCAAAUCCACCUUUGCCGCCUGGCACACCCUGGCCAUUCGGUAACGAUGCCAUCAGGGUUACUGGCUUCUUCAUUCUCCACUGUGCAUUCCAGGGUGGGCAUUUCCACAGUUGUGAGCCCAUCAUCAACUCAGCGAGUUCCCAUUUUCCAGUUAGAAAAUAAGCUUUCUGAUGGUUAGCCAUUCACUUCACUUGGCUCUAGAAAAGAUUUCAGGAAUGUAUAAUUUAUUUUUAACAUAAAGAAAAGCUAAGUGUAAACUAGAUAAGCUACAACAAUUGUCCCAGACAUUAUAGACACUCACAGCACCGUUUUCCUCUUCUAGCAAAACAAAACAAAAAAUUCUGCAAUCAUACAGGCAGUAGGAAAAAAAAUUAGCUGGACACCAUGGCUCACACCUGUAACCCCAGCACUUUGGGAGGCUGAGGUGGGAGGAUCACUUGAGGCCAGGAGUUAGGGACUGGCCUGGGCAACAUAGUGAGAUCCCAUCUUUAUAAAAAUAAUAAAAAUCUGGGCGUGGUGGAGCACACUUGUGGUCCUAGCUACUCAGGAGGCUGAGAGUGGGGAAUCGUUUGAUCCCAGGAGGUUGAGGCUGGAGUGAACCAUGUUUGCACCACUGCACUUCAGCCUGGAUGGAUGACAGAAUAAGAUCCUGUCUCAAAAAAAAAAAAAAAAAAAAACAGGAAGAAAUAAUCCGGGUAAGAAACGAGGCAAUGAUACUGUCACCUGGCCUGGCCUCAUGCCAGCAGCAUGGGGGUGGGGCUUGGGAGGGAGGGUGGAUUUAGGCUUACCAGCUUACUAGGGAACCUUGAUCUCUGUUUCUAAUUUGCCGGGCUCAUGUCUAGCUGGAGCCUGGGCACUGCUGUCUGCUUUCCUGCACAACUGGCUGGGGACAGCUCUGAGCCCUGGGCCUGUAAAGGACAGGCUCCAUAAUCCUCUGGCAAAUCCUGCAAGAUGUCUGCAGUGAGGUGCCAGGUUGGAGCAGAGGAAGAGCCUUACACUUCAUCCCUGAAGUCACAUUUGAAGGAAGACCCUCAAGGUGGAGGGCUU
rnacentral:lncRNA from 1 species